CAGAGAAUGAAAAUAAAUGUUGUGUUUUCUUUUGGUUUUGUGUGUGACCUUUGAUUUUGCUUUAUUGAACUGCCUUUAUCUUGACC